rnacentral:rRNA from 1 species
AUACGAAGGGUGCAAGCGUUAAUCGGAAUUACUGGGCGUAAAGCGCGCGUAGGUGGUUUUGUAAGUUGGAGGUGAAAGCCCCGGGCUCAACCUGGGAAUUGCCUCCAAAACUGCAUGACUAGAGUACGGUAGAGGGUAGUGGAAUUUCCUGUGUAGCGGUGAAAUGCGUAGAUAUAGGAAGGAACACCAGUGGCGAAGGCGACUACCUGGACGGAUACUGACCCUUAGGUGCGAAAGCGUGGGGAGCAAACAGGAUUAGAUACCCUGGUAGGCCACGCCGUAAACGGUGACAACUAGCCGUUGGGAUCCUUGAGAUCUUAGUGGCGCAGCUAACGCAUUAAGUUGACCGCCUGGGGAGUACGGCCGCAAGGUAAAAACUCAAAUGAAUUGACGGGG